rnacentral:misc_RNA from 1 species
UCCGGUUUGGCACCGGCAGUCCCCCGAGAGUCCUCAGCAGUUUGCACCCUGUUAGCAACACGGGGCGGGGGUUGCGCUCGUUGCGGGACUUAACCCAACAUCUCACGACACGAGCUGACGACAGCCAUGCAGCACCUGUGCACGAGCUCCGAAGAGGGGUCACUGUUUCCAGCAACUUUCCCGUGCAUGUCAAGCCUAGGUAAGGUUCUGCGCGUUGCGUCGAAUUAAACCACAUGCUCCACCGCUUGUGCGGGCCCCCGUCAAUUCCUUUGAGUUUCAGCCUUGCGGCCGUACUCCCCAGGCGGGGCACUUCAUGCGUUAGCGCCGGUACUCCAAGGGUCGCUCCCCGGAGCACCUAGUGCCCAUCGUUUACGGCGUGGACUAC